rnacentral:rRNA from 1 species
GAUGAACGCUGGCGGCGUGCCUAAUACAUGCAAGUAGAACGCUGAAGCUUGGUGCUUGCACCGAGCGGAUGAGUUGCGAACGGGUGAGUAACGCGUAGGUAACCUGCCUCUUAGCGGGGGAUAACUAUUGGAAACGAUAGCUAAUACCGCAUAAAAGUCGAUAUCGCAUGAUAUUGAUUUGAAAGGUGCAAAUGCAUCACUAAGAGAUGGACCUGCGUUGUAUUAGCUAGUUGGUGAGGUAACGGCUCACCAAGGCGACGAUACAUAGCCGACCUGAGAGGGUGAUCGGCCACACUGGGACUGAGACACGGCCCAGACUCCUACGGGAGGCAGCAGUAGGGAAUCUUCGGCAAUGGGGGCAACCCUGACCGAGCAACGCCGCGGGAGGGAAGAAGGUUUUCGGAUCGUAAAGCUCUGUUGUAAGAGAAGAACGAGUGUGAGAGUGGAAAGUUCACACUGUGACGGUAACUUACCAGAAAGGGACGGCUAACUACGUG